rnacentral:rRNA from 1 species
GACGAACGCUGGCGGCGUGCUUAACACAUGCAAGUCGAACGGAAAGGCCCUGCUUUUGUGGGGUGCUCGAGUGGCGAACGGGUGAGUAACACGUGAGUAACCUGCCCUUGACUUUGGGAUAACUUCAGGAAACUGGGGCUAAUACCGGAUAGGAGCUCCUGCUGCAUGGUGGGGGUUGGAAAGUUUCGGCGGUUGGGGAUGGACUCGCGGCUUAUCAGCUUGUUGGUGGGGUAGUGGCUUACCAAGGCUUUGACGGGUAGCCGGCCUGAGAGGGUGACCGGCGAAAGUGGGAAUGAGAGACGGCGCAGACGACGACGGGAGGCAGGAGGGGGGAAUAUUGGACAAUGGGCGGAAGCCGGAUGCAGCAACGGCGAGGGCGGGAUGACGGCCUUAGGGGUGUAAAACACAUGCGACGGUGAAGAAGAGGGAGUGAGGGGAAGGGGUAAAGGAGCAACGGCUAACUACGU